rnacentral:rRNA from 1 species
GCGCAGCAGGCGAGAAUAGUCUACAAUGGACGAAAGUCUGAUAGUGCGACGCCGUGUGUGCGAUUAAUUCCUUCGGGAUGUAAAGCACUUUUCUAUGAGAUAAAAGCUCUUUAGGUUAAUAGCUUAUUGAGACGGAUAUUAUUAUAGGAAUAAGCUCCGGCUAACUCCGUGCCAGCAGCCGCGGUAAUACGGAAGGAGCGAGCGUUGUCCGGAUUUACUAGGCGUAAAGGGCUAGUAGGCGACUAAUUAAGUUAUAUGUUAAAUCCCACGGCUCAACUGUGGUCCUGCAUGUAAUACUGGUUAGAUAGAGUACUGUAGAGGAAGGCAGAAUUCCUGGAGUAGCGGUGGAAUGCGCAGAUAUCAGGAAGAAUACCAAAAGCGAAGGCAGCCUUCUGGGCAGUUACUGACGCUGAAUAGCGAAGGUGUGGGUAGCGAACAGGAUAGAUACCCGCGUAGU